GCGCCUUUAGCUCAGCUGGAUAGAGCGUCUGGCUACGGACCAGAAGGUCAGGAGUUCGAAUCUCUUAAGGCGUGCCA
rnacentral:tRNA from 1 species